rnacentral:lncRNA from 1 species
UACAACUGUCUAAUUUAGUACGGAAACAGAAAAUUAAAAAUUAGUCAUUGUUAAACACGUUUUAGUUUAGACACCUAUUCACCCCCAUCUAGGUGUGCAUAUUCACGAAAUUAUAGUAUACCCAUAUCAUGAAAACUUUUUGAUGUUUUUGACAAUCAUGCAAACACUUGGUGCUUUGUGAUGAUUAAUACAAUCACAUUAACAUGUAAUCUAUUGUGAUUGUUAG